GUUUGGAACUGUUCUUCAGACUCUGUUUAUUCCUGCUUGGUUCUGUAUUUCAGUUUAGGAUUAUUGGAUUAUUAGAGUGACGGUGUUGAUGUCACUUAUACCAGUGGUCCAGACUCAAGGGAAUGGUAAAGCUGUGGUGUCCAUAAAGCCUGAUACACACGUGUUCAUUGGAGAGCGUGUUACUCUCAGAUGUGAAAUACAGGGAGGAGGCUCUGAGUGGGAAUACGGCUGGUAUAAAAGUAAUAACAAAUUUACAGACAGCACAAAACAGGAGAUCAGAAUCCAGUCUGUUGGAGACUCUGACAGUGGUGACUACACCUGCAGAAGACUAUGGGAUUCCUCUCAGAGAUCAGAGACCAGUGAUGCUGUUACACUCACUG